rnacentral:lncRNA from 1 species
AUGGAGAUCGUGAGAAAUGGCCUGACUUAUUCAACUGGAGAUGACCACAGCAGUGAACCGCAUUGGCAUGCCAAGUACCCAUGGGUAGACGAUCCAGCAACCUUGCCAAAUAACAGGAAAGCAGUAGAAGCAACAUUCAUCAGAACCGAGAUGAAGCUAUCUAAAGAACCUGAAUGGAAGACGGCCUAUGCUGCACAAGUUCAUGAAAUGGUAAACCGCAGCGCUGCAGUGAAGCUGUCCAAAGAAGUCCUGCAGAGUUGGACUGGGCCAGUAUGGUAUAUAAGCCACCUCAUCGCGCCGAAUGCACACUCGGUAUCUACCCCAGUGAGGUUGGUGUGGAACAGCAGCCAGAAGUACAGAGGCCUCAGCCUGAAUGACAUCCUCAUCAAAGGUCCUGAUGUCCUGAACCCGAUAAGAGCUGUCCUGCUGAGGUUCCGAGCUGGUGUCUACGCUGCCCUUGGUGACAUCUGCAAGAUGUACAACUCCGUCUGGCUGGAAGAUCGAGAGGUCCACUUGCACAGAUUCUUGUGGCGUGACACAGAAGAUGCAGGCAUAGAAGACUAUGCCAUAACAAGAGUCAACAUUGGAGACAAACCUGCUGGUUGCAUAGCCCAAGUCGCCAUGAGAGAAACUGCAAACCUACCUUCAUUCAGUCACUUCAAAGAAGAGAAACGUGUGCUAGAAGAAGAUGCUUAUGUCGAUGACAUCCUGACAUCACACAAUGACCUCGACCAUCUGAGACGCCUAACAGCCAACAUCGAGCACAUCCUGAGAGCUGGAGGAUUCUACAUGAAGCCUUGGGUCUACUCCAGUCAAAGUGGGAGGGAGGAGGCAAAGAAAGAGUUGCCUCAAUCAGAGCCAAAGACUAUGAUCCUGCCAAACCAGCUGACGGAAGAUGACAACAAAGCCCUUGGCCUUGGCUACACCAUCAAUGAUGACAAGCUUCAUAUCAUGGUUGCAGUGAACUUUUCAAAGAAAAGGAGGAAAAUGCGCCUUGGUCAAGACCUGCUCAGAGAAGAAGUCGGAGAGCAAACACCUGAUCCACUAACCAGGCGAGAACUGCUAAGCCAAGUCUCCGGCCUAUAUGACCCACUUGGUCUUGUGACUCCUGUCAAACAGAAGGGUGCCAUCCUGGUAAGGAGAGCUUUCCUAGAAGCAAAAGUAAAGUACCGCCUCGAAGACACAUGGGACGCAGCCUUGUCUGAAGGUCUCCGAGAAGACGCCAUAAAACUUCUGGAAGAAUAUGCUGACCUGAAGAAACUGCAUUUCACUAGAGCCCUGACUCCACCAGAUCCCUGUGCAGAGCCCAGUGCCAUCACGUUCUCUGAUGGCAGUGAACACGCAUAUGGCGAAGUGAUGUACCUUCGCUGGAGUUGCAGCCAUAGUGUCAUCGUGAGACUAGUAGAGUAA